GUGUCAGCAGCCGCGGUAAUACAGAGGUCCCGAGCGUUGUUCGGAUUCACUGGGCGUAAAGGGUGCGUAGGUGGUGAGGUAAGUCGGAUGUGAAAUCUCCGGGCUCAACCCGGAAAAGGCAUUGGAAACUACCUUGCUUGAGGUUUUGAGGGGGGACUGGAAUUCUCGGUGUAGCAGUGAAAUGCGUAGAUAUCGAGAGGAACACCAGUGGCGAAGGCGAGUCCCUGGAAAACACCUGACACUGAGGCACGAAAGCUAGGGGAGCAAACAGGAUUAGAUACCCUAGUAGUCC
rnacentral:rRNA from 1 species